CCGCCGGAUGUCUUUCAUUUUGGCCAGAUGUCUGUUACCUUCUGCUUCCUUUGCGUUGCAAUUUUAAACUCUGUUGGAUAUACUAUGGUUAACUGCUCCUCAGAUCUCUGCAGGGUAAAUCCAGACAUCUAGCUAGGCUACUUAAA